rnacentral:misc_RNA from 1 species
GUCUUAUUGAUAAUAAUUUUAAGUCUAAUCUGCCCAAUGAAAUAUUUAAUGGCUGCAGUAUUUUAACUGUACAAAGGUAGCAUAAUAAUUAGUUUCUUAAUUAGGGACUGGAAUGAAUGAUUGAACGAGAUAAUAACUGUCUUAGGUUAAUUUUUAGAAUUUUAUUUUUAAGUUAAAAAGCUUAAAUUUUUUUAAAAGACGAGAAGACCCUAUAGAAUUUUAUAUUAAAUUUUAAUUUUAAUUUGAGUAAAUAAAAUUAAAAUUAUUUUUAUAUAUUUAGUUGGGGUGAUUGAAAAAUUUAUAAAACUUUUUUUAAUUUUUUACAUGAAUAAGUGAAUUUUUGAUCCAAAAAUUUUGAUUAUAAGAUUAAAUUACCUUAGGGAUAACAGCGUAAUUUUUUUAGAGAGUUCUAAUCGAUAAAAGAGAUUGCGACCUCGAUGUUGGAUUAAAGUUAAUUUUUAAUGUAGAAGUUAAAAUAUUAGGUCUGUUCGACCUUUAAAACUUUACAUGAUCUGAGUUUAAAUCGGCGUGAGCCAGGUUGGAUUCUAUCUUUAAACAGAUUAAAUAUUUUAGUACGAAAGGACCAAAUAUUUGUUAUAAUAAUUUAAUUUAGAAUAAUAUUAUUAUUUUGGCAGAAUAGUGCUUUAAAUUUAGAAUUUAAAUAUAUGAAUAUAAAAUUCGUAAAUAAUAC